rnacentral:rRNA from 1 species
GAUGAACGCUGGCGGCGUGCUUAACACAUGCAAGUCGAACGAUGAAGCUCAGCUUGCUGGGUGGAUUAGUGGCGAACGGGUGAGUAACACGUGAGUAACCUGCCCUUAACUCUGGGAUAAGCCUGGGAAACUAGGUCUAAUACCGGAUAGGAGCGCCUACCGCAUGGUGGGUGUUGGAAAGAUUUAUCGGUUUUGGAUGGACUCGCGGCCUAUCAGCUUGUUGGUGAGGUAAUGGCUCACCAAGGCGACGACGGGUAGCCGGCCUGAGAGGGUGACCGGCCACACUGGGACUGAGACACGGCCCAGACUCCUACGGGAGGCAGCAGUGGGGAAUAUUGCACAAUUGGCGAAAGCCUGAUGCAGCGACGCCGCGUGAGGGAUGACGGCCUUCGGGUUGUAAACCUCUUUCAGUAGGGAAGAAGCGAAAGUGACGGUACCUGCAGAAGAAGCACCGGCUAACUACGUG